rnacentral:rRNA from 1 species
CACGUAGGAGGCGAGCGUUGUCCGGAAUCAUUGGGCGUAAAGAGCGCGCAGGCGGCUUGGCAAGUCGGGUGUGAAAUCCCGGGGCUCAACCCCGGGACUGCAUUCGAUACUGUCAGGCUAGAGGUAGGUAGGGGAGAUCGGAAUUCCUGGUGUAGCGGUGAAAUGCGCAGAUAUCAGGAGGAACACCGGUGGCGAAGGCGGAUCUCUGGGACGGUACUGACGCUGAGACGCGAAAGCGUGGGGAGCGAACAGG